rnacentral:rRNA from 1 species
AACGGGUGAGUAACACGUGAGUAACCUGCCCUUGACUCUGGGAUAAGCCUGGGAAACUGGGUCUAAUACCGGAUAUGACUGACUAUCGCAUGGUGGUUGGUGGAAAGCUUUUGUGGUUUUGGAUGGACUCGCGGCCUAUCAGCUUGUUGGUGGGGUAAUGGCCUACCAAGGCGACGACGGGUAGCCGGCCUGAGAGGGUGACCGGCCACACUGGGACUGAGACACGGCCCAGACUCCUACGGGAGGCAGCAGUGGGGAAUAUUGCACAAUGGGCGGAAGCCUGAUGCAGCGACGCCGCGUGAGGGAUGACGGCCUUCGGGUUGUAAACCUCUUUCAGUAGGGAAGAAGCGUAAGUGACGGUACCUGCAGAAGAAGCGCCGGCUAACUACGUGCCAGCAGCCGCGGUAAUACGUAGGGCGCAAGCGUUAUCCGGAAUUAUUGGGCGUAAAGAGCUCGUAGGCGGUUUGUCGCGUCUGCCGUGAAAGUCCGGGGCUCAACUCCGGAUCUGCGGUGGGUACGGGCAGACUAGAGUGAUGUAGGGGAGACUGGAAUUCCUGGUGUAGCGGUGAAAUGCGCAGAUAUCAGGAGGAACACCGAUGGCGAAGGCAGGUCUCUGGGCAUUAACUGACGCUGAGGAGCGA